ACCACAUGGUCCAUCCCUUGCUUCAAUCAUAGAAUUCUUUCUUCAGAUCAAAGUAUAUUCAGACACCCGAUACAGUAACAAAAGCAAGCUAUCCUGGAAGGAAGAAGGAAUCAGGAGGCAGAGCACAUGGUUAAAGCAUGAGAUGUGAAACCAGGAAGAACCAGGUCUGAAUCUUAGCUCCACCAGUGGUAGCUCCAAACCUUAGUCCUUUCUGAGCCUGCUUCUUCAACCCUAAGGAAUUCGGAAACGGGACCCAGAAAGUUGUUUCCUGCAAGUGGCUGGAACAACACAAGCAAUAAGUAUCCUGAAACAGGCCCUGUUCCAACAAACUGACCCAGAAAGCAAGUAUGAGGAAUCCUGUUUCCCUACGUUCUCACUACGACAGCAGGAUAUCAAACAUUGAUAUCCACCAAUCUCUGGAUGGAAAAACAAAUCUCAGGGAAAAGCACUUGGGACCCGCCAAACGGAGGAUGCAAAAAGGGGUGUAACACUGUGUCCCUCCCUCCCGCUUACCCAGCAAUGGGGGAGAAAAAGUCGCUGGGCAUGACACACCACCGUUCGCCAACGCUGUGGGCAGCAAGAAUGAAUAAGAGCUGUAGUGCUUCUUGAGAGCCCAGACCUCGAGACUCUCCAAAGCAGGGUUGUAAUAUGCCCCUGCUCGCCAAGCCCUUGGCAGUGGGAACUGAGCUGUGACACCCUUGGGGCUCUGCAGUUCCUGGCAUCUCCGAGUUUUCAGGCACCACCACAU
rnacentral:antisense_RNA from 1 species